GACAGAUGAUUGGGGUGAAGUCGUAACAAGGUAGCCGUAUCGGAAGGUGCGGCUGGAUCACCUCCUUU
rnacentral:ncRNA from 2 species